GUCCCGCCGCACCGGUGGGACCCGCGUUUGCACGAACCGGGCUGUGGCAAUAAAGAACCUCCGCGCGAACCGGGCUCGCACAGCUUUGUCCAGUGCUUUAUUUUUCAUUCUGUAUAUUCCAACAGGAUGUUUAUGGAAACUUGGCUGGUUUGUGGAAGAAAGCAAAGCUCUCCUGAAGGAAUUAGUCAGGAACUCUUGCAGUUUUUGUUUGUUUUUUUGGGUUUUUUUUGUAGUAUUUAUGUCUGUCAAGCUACUUUAGCACACAUGCAGCUUCUUAAAACUCAUUGACAGAGGCCCGCGAGGCUGAGUCCCACACAGGUCACUCCGUAAGAAUUUUUAGAAUAUGGAUUGAAUGGGCUCAGGAAAAUAUGAGCAUUAGUCUGCCAGCAGCCAGGACCCAGUAGCAUGAUAAUCCAAGCUGAGCAUUUGCAGAUGGGGAAUACCUUCACAGAAGUGUGAACACCCUCUGCCUGACCAUUUAGUUACUUCCUGCUUCCUUCUCCUUCCUGUGCUUUCCCUUUCUGGAGUAUUAUGCUGGCAUUACAUGAUUAUUCACACCCAAAUUUAAAGGUUUUUUUAUACUUCAAGAGCAAAACCACCUGCAGUGGAAAGAGUUGCUUUUGACUUCCUGAUUCAGACUGCCCAAGUUUCCAUUGAGAAAAUUCUUGUAAACUUUUUACCUGCAGGAAUCCAAGCCAUAGAUGGUUUGCAACAGAUCUUUGAAAUUUAGCAGGAGGAAAACUCCUGGUGGGCAAAGGUGUAAGGUUUACCAUGUCCCAUGAAAUUCUAUUCAGGUCUGUCAGAGGGGGAAACUGGGAGAAAAAUGCCAAUUUUGCUUAUGUUGGCAACAGCACUCUGACAGCCAUCCAAGGGGAUUGGCCACGGGCAUCCUCAUCCCUGUCAGUGUCCACAGCAUUCACAUUGUGCUGGGAGCCUGACUCUCUGGCUGCAGCUGAAAAGCUGUUGUGAAAGUGAAGUUUGGAGAUAGCAGAGAGAGAAAAAGACUGCCAGACUUUAUAACAGCUCUCUCUAAACCCAGUACAUAGCAUGUCUCUGAUCACUCUCUUCAUGGGCUCUCCUUUAUUUUGAAGAAAUUGGAGCCUUUCUCCCUUGAUGAUCACCUGUGCGCUGCACAUGGUCCAAAUCUCAUCAGUGAGUCCUUGGGGCCUUUUCAUUUGGAAGGAAGAAAUGCUUCUACAAAGUCAAUUUUUUUUUUUUUUCUUUGGGAAAAGGCACUUGUGUGCUAAGUGCAAGACUAUUUUUGUGAUUGCUGCCCUAUUUGUUCUCACUAUUGGAAUGUCAGUGGAGAAUAUAACAGAAGGUGAGAAGAAGUGGGAGAAGGAUCUUGAUGUAAGGACAGGAGAGCGACACAUAGGUGAGCAAAUUGUUAUUUUUGUUGUAGUAAAGUGUGGUCCCCAGUGAUGCUUUGCUCAGUGUUUUUACAUCAGGCCAAUAUGCUCAGCUUCAGGGUUUUUUGGGCCAUCAGUGCUCAUCUGGAGACAAGACUUGCCCUCAAUUUUCUCUCAGCACCAGGUGUACUGCAUCAUCAAACAUUUCUCUGGUCUUUCACCAAUGCAAAACAUGUUAUCAUAGAAACAGAGGAAAACCAAGGUUCAUGGAAAUAUGUAAACGCUGUCUAAAGAGCUGCAAAUGCCUGUUCUAACCUCAUCUCACUCAUGACGACUCCUAAUCCCAAGCUCUAUCUGAUGCUGGUGAUGUCCUUAGGACAAAGAGUCCAAAAUCUAGCAGAGCUAAAUUCUGAGGAUUAUAUUUUACAGCAAUUUAAGAAGGACAAAACUUUAUGAAUAAUUAAUUUUUCUGUGAAGAAAAUAGCCAGAAGUAACACUUGUUGCUGACAGUCCACCCAAACUUCUGUCCUGUAAGAGGCACAGGGACAGAGAAGCAUCUCUGAGGCCAGCCCAGAGCAGAAAUGCACACUGGUGUCCUUCCCAUGGUGUCCACCAUUCAGAUCCCUCAGACUCCCUUGCUGUUUGAGCUCUGUGAGGAUUUUCCAGUGCCACGGUGUCCAUUUUGUGCUCCAUACCCACAGACUUCAGCUGUGCCUGUGCUCAGUCAUUACAGAGGUCAGUAAAGGACACCUCUUAGACUGGAAGCUUGAGUUCAGUCAUAAUAAUUUAUUAUUUCAAACAAGAGCCAGACAGGGCCAAGUGUUUCCUCCUUUCAGAAGAAAGGAGAUGCUGUCUAAAAAUCUUCUAAGUACUUAUUUACAGUAAUUGUCAGAUCAGUGGGUAAAUCCUACUGUAAGCAGAAAAGCUGUGACUCACAAUAUUGAGAGGUUUGAUUUGGGUUGUUGUCCUUCCUUUGGUGCCUUUGGUUGGAAGUAUGAAGUUAAUCAGGGAGCAGAUGUUGCCCAGAGUAGCUGUACCUGUCCAGAAGCAUGUCAGCUCAAGGAUGUGAAGGGCACAAAGACCAGGAAUGAAUUAUGUACAAGGAAAUGCACUUGGCUCGCCUCUGCUGUACAGAUACAGCCAGUGCCCAGCUGGUCAGAUAAACCGAGAUUUUGACAAACUGGUCAAUUCUGUUUUCUCAUCCUGUAGGUUUUUAGCAAAGAAUCAUAUACAAAUAAUCUCAUUAACUUUAGACCUCAGUGGUCUCCAUCUGAGUUAAUUGCAUGGGCUUCCUUUACAGUCAAAAGAUAGAGACAUUUCUGAGGCAUAAUCAGUCUGGAUAUGCUGGGGAGGCAGUAAGGAGCCUCAGCAAGUUUCCCUCAAAAAAAUUAGAGAUUUUUUUCUUUUGAUCUUUCAAAGGGGGAUGCUUUAAACUCUUCUGUUAAUAUAGUAAUAGAUGCCCUAAAACAAAAGGAGAAGAUUACUAGCUUUUAAAAAAGUAAUGAGAAAGGUAUUUUUUUCCUUGUCUGGCUUUCACAGAAAUGAAAAAAUGUCUCCUCAGUGUUUCUGUGUUCUGGAAGCAGCAGGCACCAUAGAGUUUGAUAAGGAUCUGUCUGACUUGGAGUGUGAGCUCCUAACGAGAGCAGGGCAAUUUGUAGCAUGGAUUUAACAACUGGUUCAAGCCAGAACCUCUUAAAGACAAGGUUCUCAGCAACUUCCCUCUGCAUCAUGAAAUUAAACAUUAACAUAAUAAGGAAGUUCAGUUCCUAACUUAAUCUAACUUAAUGAACAAGCACAUGUUCAAUUAGGCUCUGAGGUACUCUGCACUGAUUCAUGGAACUGGAAAUAUCUCCCAGCGUAUCAAUACUCCUGCUGUCAGAUGGCAGCAAGUCUGUUAGCUCCACUUGUGCCACGUCCUGAAACGAAUUCAUCUCAGCCUGCUGCGGCUGUCAGAAUUUCUUAGGUGAAAUGGCAGUGCUGGAACUUCUCCUCUGGACAAAGUGUCACGUAUUCCUCUGCAUCUGUCCACCUGGUGUGUCAAGUUUGUCUCUGGCCACAGGGUAUUUCUUACAACAUUAUUGCUGUUUGCUGUCAUUGCUCUUCAUUAUAGGCAUUCCCACAGUUGUUUCUUAGAAAAUGGUGACAGCUCCUGAUAUCCCAGAUUAUGCUUCCCUUUUACCUUCCCCCACCUCAUAUUUUUUCCCCUGUAUCUGCUGGUUGCUAUGACUUUGACAUGAAUUCCCAGUAAGCACUCAAGUGCAGGUACUCUUGUUUUCAGUUUUCGGUUGAGUAAAAUGUAAGCAAGUAACAAGUCAUGUUACAAUGGUACCACUCCAUUAUUAACAGUACUAAGUACAGAUCAGAACUGGCAUCCAUUCCUGUGUAUUCUUUAACAUUUUCUGCUGGCCUGUAGAGGCUGGAGAUGACGAAGGUUAUGGUUAUAUUGACUAAAUUUGUAUUUCAGAAAAGGAUGGUUAAGCAGGACCCUGAUAAAUGUCAGACAUUCCUGUUUCAGGCCUAGCACAUGGGCUCAAAUUUGGGAUGUCAUCUUUCUAAGCUGUUGUCAUUUCUAGCAACACUGUUCCAGGAAAAUGAGAAUACUCUCAACACACAUCUAGGAUAAGGGACUGCUGACUGGAGAUUUUCCUUUCCAGCCAGGACAUGCAAGCUUGCUUCUCCUUUGCAUUGGGAACAAGUACUUGCUGUAUCAUGUGACAAGUCUUACCACUUCCUUGAUGAAUUCAUUUGUUUAGGAUCAGGACAAAUCUCUAUGCCAUUUUCUUAGCAUUUUCUUUCCCUAAAUGAAUUUCCUUCGCUCAUUUUAUAAUAUUUCAAUGAUAUUUUAGAAAUGACCACUCCAGUCUCUUUAAUCAUCCAUCUCACAUUAGGAGCACCCCGCAAUUUGAGCAUGAUAAAGAUUAUCAGUAAAGACAGAAUAAUAUACUGGGCACAGUAUGUAAAUAGUUUUAAUUGCAUUUAGUAAAAAACUUGUUUGUAAGAGCAGGUUUGACAAACAAAGUCUGUAUUCUGAGUUUACUGUUGUGUUUUUUUUUUUUUUAAUCUCCUUGAUUCAUGUAAAAUCUAACUCUGGACUUCGAACCACAGCCCAGUUUUCAAGUGAGUGAGUGUGCCUGCAGCCACCAAAACUUUCCUAGGUUUGCAUUUAACUUGCAAAUCAUGCUUCUGUAGCUGAAUAUUGUUCUUUUAAGUACUAUUUUCCAUGUCUUUUUCAGCUAAAAGUUAUCUCUGGGGAAUGAGAGCAUGAACCUUUUUAGUUGUGCAACUAUUGACACCCACAUGCAGCUCAAAGAGAAUCACAGAGUCAUAGAAUGGUUUGGAUUAGAAGGGACCUUAAAAAUAAUCUCAUUCCAACUCCCUGGCAUGGGCAGGGACACCUUCCACUAGACCAGGUUGCUCAGAGCUCCAUCCAACCUGGCCUUGGACACUUCCAGGGAUGGGGCAGCCACAAACUCUCUGGGAAACCUGUGCCAGGGCCUCACCACCAUCACUGUUAGAGAACUUGCACCAUUGUCAUUCUUGGAGUGGGUGGAAGAAAACUUUAUGUUGUGAUUACUUUCGCAGGCCUCUUUCUCCUUCAGCUUCUCAAGAGCUUUGUCACUGGCAGUGGCACUUGUUUCUCGAGUGCUUUGCUGUGUCCUCUGCUCUGCAGAGUGCCAGGCUUAGAAAGCUGGUUCUGGCAGCUCUGUCAGGCACAAAUUUGCAUGCAACAUUUGUCUCUCCAAGGAAUCUUUAAGCCCUUUCUUGUCUGUCAGGCUAGGUAUACUAAUGAUAACAUCAACCUCCCUCGUGUGAUCAUUUCCUAAACCAUUCUAGAAAAUGAGAUGGAUUAAUGAAGACUUAUUAUUUAAAUUGCUGAAGGUACCCAGCUCAUUUUUGACUGAACACAGGAGCUUCUGCCACGACUGCUACAACCAGAAUGGAUGUUCACUGGUCCCUAAGCAUGCAGCACAUCCCAGCUGUAAGAUUAUAUGCCUUAGUUUAAAGCUCAUAAACUAAAGCAGCUAUGACAAAAUUUCUGAGUGUGCUCACAUGCUAAGCUAGUUGUAUAUGAAAGCAAAAGCCGUGCAUGGGUUGAUUUGCUUCCCUGAAAGAACACUGAUUUCAAAUUGCCUCAGAUAUCUGUUCUGUCCAUUGUGGUCUUCAGUGAAGUUACUCUUAGUUUUAUUUUUGGUCCUGGGCUUUAUUCUCUAAGCCUGCAGAGCCAAGAUGUUUGAGUGAUUCAUUCCUGUCUGGUUUCUCUCUGACUGCCAUGGCUUAACCUGGCUCUGUGCACCAGCUCUUGGCAUUUUCCAGAGCUCUGGAAAGCUGUGGUUCUCUGCCCUGGCCGCUUUACAGCUGCUACUGUCUGCUCACAGUGGCUGUGGCUCAGGAGACGUUCAGGUCUUGCACUUUGAAGUCUCUGGAUGUCACUCAUAACUAAUCACUCGUCUCUGAAACGUCCUCCCCAGUGCCGAAAGCGUUUACAGAAAUAAUUUGCUGCGGAUAGGCAAAAAACUGCUGGCAAUUUAAUAGUAAUUAAAAAAUUUCCAUUUCAGCACUUGAAUGUUUCCCUCUUCAAUGCAAAAACAUCACAGGUCUCAGCAGCUGUCACCCUCAGCAGACCACUGUGCUGUUACUCAGCACACCAUGCUUUUAUUAGAAUUACAUUUGGAAUAAAAAGUUAAGGUUUUUAAAAGAACCUCUACUUUUUGUUUUCUAGUAAGUUUAACCUCUCACUUCAAAUAAGAGGAAGUUGGUAACAUUGUUUGCCCCAUUUCUUAGAUACUGGAUUAUGCAUUUGCCUGAUUUUUUAUUUUACCUUUUCCUCUUUAUUCUUUGAUUUUCCAUGUUACACAAAUGACACAGUAGCCCUAAAUAUAGCAGAAGAUUGCUCAUGAGACUCUCUUAAAUUAAUCUUAUUAAAAUAAUUGAUUAAACUUGGUUCUUGACUAAAAAUUAAAUCUUCCUUUUUUCCUCUUUGUUUGACUCAAGGUCAAUUUUAAGCACCUUUGUCAUUCUUCAACAGAUAGGCACAAUAUUCUGGAAAACAUUUUGAGGAGAAAUAACACAGAGAAAGAACACAGAGAAAGCUUGUUCCCACACAGUUCUAAACCUCUAGGGUUCAAUUCUGUGGCAUGGUGAAAGAUCACAUGUAUAAUCUGCUCCUUAAACUUGGGACCUCUAAUAUGUAGGGCUAAGUGUGUGUUUAAGUAUCUGAAAACUUUGUGUUGUCUAUUUACCUGAGUCAGCCCUCUGGAUGGUGAUAAAUAAAUUCAAGUACCCUGUGAAAGCAUGCCUGGCUCAUUUUCAACCACUACGGUAAAAAGACCUUUCUCCAGGGAGGAGAUAAUGCAGGGGAAAUACUAACUGAGGAAUCCACCAUCAAAUUCAGUAUAUAGCCUGCCCUGGACAAUUUUUUUGCUGCUUCUUCUUGCUGCUGAAUAACAAGCCUUUAGAGUGGACUUUCAGGUCAUGUUGACUGGACAUAAACAUGAAGAAAUUAUUACUCCCAAACACAUUUCUAUGUAUUUUUUCUCCUGUCUUCCUAAUAUACUUAUGAGAGGGAUACUAAGAGGGAUAAGUGAGAAGUUAUCUUUACAGUAUGACAGGCUGUUGCCAGGAACUCAGCAUGAAUGAUCAAACAAUUUUACUAAUCUGUUUUUAACACAGCAUACAGAGGUAAGGAAGAAUUGUGUCCUACACAAAUAUAACACAAAAUCAGAAUAAUAUUUUCUGAUUCAAGUAUCAGCAUGUAGAAAAGAAAAAGUUUGCUCUGAAGUCAGCCAUUUAGAUGCUUUGGCAGAGAGAAAGUCAGAAGUUCUGCUGAAAUAAGGAAAGAAAUACGUGGAAUAUGGAGAUCAAAGCCAGCCUACACUGUAGGAUAACUAGCUGUCAUUGGCUGGUCUCUCUGUGGUGCAUUUAUUUAAAUACAUAUGUAUUAAAAUAGUAAUUGUUCUACAUUCCUAAAGCUCUCUCUCUUCUAUUUGCAUAUUGGUCUUGCAUAAUUUUGAAUGGGACUAAAUUGCUUCACUAAUUUUGACUAAUAUUUUAAAUGAAGCUGCCAAAAAGUUACAACCCUAAUUUACCUAAUAGAUUUGCUUCUAUGAACUUUCCUCCAAGCUACUGCCUGAGUAAAUAUAUUAAAAGUUCAAGUGGUGUAA